rnacentral:rRNA from 1 species
UAGAACAGAUAAUGCUAAAAUUAGUAAUAAGGAGGGCCCACCCUCCUCCUAGCAUGAGUGUAAGUCAGACCGGAUUAACCACUGACAACCAACGAACCCAAAUAUAACAGAGGAGAAUAACAGUAAUCACAAAAAACAAGAAAACCCUGAAAAGACCAAUCGUUAACCCAACACAGGAAUGCAAUAUAGGAAAGACUAAAAGGAAAAGAAGGAACUCGGCAAACACAAACCUCGCCUGUUUACCAAAAACAUCGCCUCUUGCUAACAAAAUGUAUUAGAGGUCCCGCCUGCCCUGUGACCAAAAGUUUAACGGCCGCGGUAUCCUGACCGUGCGAAGGUAGCGCAAUCACUUGUCUUUUAAAUGAAGACCCGUAUGAAUGGCAUGACGAGGGUUUAACUGUCUCCUUUCCCCAGUCAAUGAAAUUGAUCUGCCCGUGCAGAAGCGGGCAUUAAAACAUAAGACGAGAAGACCCUAUGGAGCUUCAGGCCAAGGACCAAACAUGUUAAAUAAACUAAAAAUUAAGAAAUUAAAACAAAAAGUGACAAAACCAAAUGUAAAAUGGCCCAAGUGCCUUCGGUUGGGGCGACCAUGGGGAAAAAACAAACCCCCAAAUGGAAAAGGGAUCAACCCUUAAACCAAGAAAAUUACCUCUAAGUAAUAGAACAUCUAACCAAAAAUGACCCAGAAAUCUAAUAUUCUGACCAAUGGAACAAGUUACCCUAGGGAUAACAGCGCAAUCCCUUCCCAGAGUUCAUAUCGACGAAGGGGUUUACGACCUCGAUGUUGGAUCNNGACAUCCUAAUGGUGCAGCCGCUAUUAAGGGUUCGUUUGUUCAACGAUUAAUAGUCCUACGUGAUCUGAGUUCAGACCGGAGAAAUCCAGGUCGGUUUCUAUCUAUGAACACUUUUUUCCAGUACGAAAGGAUAGAAAAAAGGGGGCCCAUGCUCAAAGUACGCCCCACUCCCAUAUCUUGAAAACAAAUAAAAAAU